UUCCGCAGGGGAGCUGGAGUAGAUCCGGCUGAGAUAGCGGCCCCACACGCCGCAUUCCCUCUGAACCUGAACCGGGUAAUGCCGGCGUAGGAAGACGGAUUC
rnacentral:ncRNA from 1 species